GGAGCUCUGUCUGGGGACUGUCCCUUCUAGAGACUUCACUGGCUCUAGAAAUGAUCAUCUGUUCCUGAGCAAUGCUAUUUGUAGCAGGUAACGUGACUGCAGAUUUAAAACGGUCUCGUCUGUACGAGGGCUUCUGCAGAAGCAAUAUUCAGUAACAGGAGAACUAGCAGCCCGAUUAUGGGAAGUCACAGCAAGAAUCAUCGGUCAAAGAACUCUGCAAUACAGAAAUCAUCUGCAAAGGAGCUACUCACCAGGAACCGUAUCGAUAUAAAGAAACGCACAAACACUUAAAAAGGUUUUUUGAUUUUAUUAGAUCUUAAAAAAAUAUACGAGAUCCGAUCAUAUGUGAACAUGGCUCAAAAUCUCCCUCCAAUAAUCCUGUAAUACUGAUUAAAGGAGACAUAGGGCAGUAAGAACUAACAGCAGCAGACAAAAAGGCAAGAAAAUAAUGUCAGUUUGUUUGUAAAGAUUAAGGGGAAAAACAAAA